rnacentral:rRNA from 1 species
UGGGGAAUUUUGGACAAUGGGGGCAACCCUGAUCCAGCAAUGCCGCGUGUGUGAAGAAGGCCUUCGGGUUGUAAAGCACUUUUGGCGGGAACGAAACAGCUUGUGCUAAUACCACGAGCGACUGACGGUACCCGCAGAAUAAGCACCGGCUAACUACGUGCCAGCAGCCGCGGUAAUACGUAGGGUGCAAGCGUUAAUCGGAAUUACUGGGCGUAAAGCGUGCGCAGGCGGUUUUGUAAGACGGAUGUGAAAUCCCCGGGCUCAACCUGGGAACUGCAUUCGUGACUGCAAGGCUAGAGUGCGUCAGAGGGAGGUGGAAUUCCGCGUGUAGCAGUGAAAUGCGUAGAUAUGCGGAGGAACAUCGAUGGCGAAGGCAGCCUCCUGGGAUGACACUGACGCUCAUGCACGAAAGCGUGGGGAGCAAACAGG